rnacentral:rRNA from 1 species
GACGAACGCUGGCGGCGUGCUUAACACAUGCAAGUCGUACGGUAAGGCCCUUUCGGGGGUACCCGAGUGGCGCACGGGUGAGUAACACGUGAGUAACCUGCCCACAACUUUGGGAUAACGCUAGGAAACUGGUGCUAAUACUGGAUAUGUGCUCCUGCUGCAUGGUGGGGGUUGGAAAGCUCCGGCGGUUGUGGAUGGACUCGCGGCCUAUCAGCUUGUUGGUGGGGUAGUGGCCUACCAAGGCGGCGACGGGUAGCCGGCCUGAGAGGGUGACCGGCCACAUUGGGACUGAGAUACGGCCCAGACUCCGACGGGAGGCAGCAGUGGGGAAUAUUGCACAAUGGGCGCAAGCCUGAUGCAGCAACGCCGCGUGCGGGAUGACGGCCUUCGGGUUGUAAACCGCUUUCAGCAGGGACGAAGCUUUUUGUGACGGUACCUGCAGAAGAAGCACCGGCUAACUACGUG